UACAGAGGUGGCAAGCGUUGUUCGGAAUUACUGGCGUAAAGGGCGCGUAGGCGGUCUCGUAAGGCCUGUGUGAAAUCCCCCGGCUCAACUGGGGAACUGCACAGGAAACUGCGAGACUUGAGUUCGGGAGAGGGAAGCGGAAUUCCGGGUGUAGCGGUGAAAUGCGUAGAUAUCCGGAGGAACACCGGUGGCGAAGGCGGCUUCCUGGACCGACACUGACGCUGAGGCGCGAAAGCUAGGGGAGCAAACGGG
rnacentral:rRNA from 1 species